AUCACUAACAUGUGCUCAGAGACCAAAGA
rnacentral:piRNA from 1 species